rnacentral:misc_RNA from 1 species
AGCCUGGCGUUCCACUGUUAGUGGUGUAUAUCCCGUCAUAAGAAAAUGGCAUCUUGGUGUUGGAAUUAAAGAGGCAAGAAGACCAACCAAGUCAUUGUUCAUAUAACCAGGAUAUCGUAACGUGGUUGUGCUUGCAGACAUUACAGUAGAUACCAAAGAGUUAGUUUGAGCAAAAGUAGGAUUUGACAAAUGUAGGCGUUCCACAGCAAUUCUAUU